rnacentral:rRNA from 1 species
GUCCACACGGUAACGAUGAAUACUCGCUGUUUGCGAUAUACUGCAAGCGGCCAAGCGAAGCGUUAAGUAUUCCACCUGGGGAGUACGCCGGCAACGGUGAACUCAAGGAAUUGACGGGGCCCGCACAAGCGGAGGAACAUGUGGUUUAAUUCGAUGAUACGCGAGGAACCUUACCCGGGCUUAAAUUGCAGAUGAAUUACGGUGAAAGCCGUAAGCCGCAAGGCAUCUGUGAAGGUGCUGCAUGGUUGUCGU